rnacentral:rRNA from 1 species
CGGAACACGUACGCAACCUCCUCAGAGCGGGGAAGUAGCCUCUCGAAAGAGAGAUUAAUACCCACUAGUAUCUUGAAGACACAUGUCUAUGAGAUUAAAGACUUCGGCACUUUGUAGAUGGGCGUGCGGCGUGAUUAGGUAGUUGGUAGGUAACGGCCUACCAAGCCGACGAUCAGUAGCUGAUGUGAGAGCAUGAUCAGCCACACGGGCACUGAGACACGGGCCCGACUCCUACGGGAGGCAGCAGUGAGGAAUAUUGGUCAAUGGAGGAAACUCUGAACCAGCCAUGCCGCGUGGAGGAUGAAGGUCCUCUGGAUUGUAAACUCCUUUAUAAAGAAGAAACCCCAUUUUCUAAAUGGGUUGACGGUACUUUAUGAAUAAGCACCGGCUAACUCCGUG